GACGAACGCUGGCGGCGUGCUUAACACAUGCAAGUCGAACGGAAAGGCCCUGCGUUUGUGGGGUGCUCGAGUGGCGAACGGGUGAGUAACACGUGAGUAACCUGCCCUUGACUUUGGGAUAACAUCAGGAAACUGGGGCUAAUAUCGGAUAGGAGAUCCUGCUGCAUGGGGGGGGUUGGAAAGUUUCGGCGGUAGGGGCUGGACUCGCGGCUUACCAGCUAGUUGGUGGGGUAGUGGAUUACCAAGGCUGUGAAGGGUAGCCGGCCUUGGAGGGUGACCGGCGACAUUGGUCCUGCGAUACGCCGCAGUCUCCUACGGGAGGCAGCAGUGGGGAAUAUUGCACAGUGGGCGGAAGCCUGAUGCGGCAGCGCCGCGUGCGGGAUGACGGCUUUCGGGUUGUGAACCGCUUUCGCCUGUGACGAAGCGUGAGUGACGGUAAUGAGUAAAGAAGCACCGGCUAACUACGUG
rnacentral:rRNA from 1 species